CUCAAGCCACUUAUUUAUUUAACCUUGAAUAGCAUGUACUCUUAUUUAUUAAGUAACCAAAUUAUUAUAUAUCAAAGAUUUCAUAUUAUUUAUCUUCACUGUUCUUUUUUUUUAAAAUUCCUUUUCAAAAUGAAAAUGUGCAAAAAAUCCCAUUUAUCCAACCACAACCGCCAUACUCCUCUUUAUCCCCAUUUAUCACCGCCAUACAUUUUUAUAUAUAUCAGAUUCAUUCACCUAUAGUAUAUCAUUUCAUCCUUUUUCUACAUCUACAUCUCUAAUUUGCAAAACGUAAACUUAUCCAGCAAGAAAAUCAAGUUCUUUCCUUCCACUGUAGAGGUGCGGCGCGACUAGGACAUGGAUUUUAGUUUGAAUUAUCAGAAUUAACUUUCAAGUUCAAGUUCAAGUUCAAAAUUCAGGUGUGGGAUUUAUUACAGUACAUGCCCGUGGUUAAUUCUUGUCCAUUUUAAUAUCAUGUGUUUACCAUAUGUGAGUUGCAUUAAAUUAUAUCGCUAGGGGCCCGCUCAAUGGGUCCAGGACAUUAAAGUCCUUGGUAUGCCACAAUGCGAUUUCAUGUUACAGUUAUGGUUGCAACCAGUCGCCAGGGGCCGGCUCAAUCGGUCCAGGACGGAAAGGUCCUUGGUAUGCCACCGUGCGACUUUCAGUCACGAAUGUAUUGAUCAUAUGAGAUUCUCAUUUUAUUAACGUGGACAAUGAUUGCAUGUUCCCACACUGAGUGUACCCUGUAUGCUCAUCCCAUAUUUAACAUUUUCAGGUUUUAAAGACCGGAGGCGCGUGGAAGGUCGAAUGGCGAAUCAAAUAUUUUGAAUUUAGCAUUACUUAAAAAUGUUAUUUUGAGUAAAGUAUGUUUAAAUAAAAAUUUACUUCCUGAUUUUCUCUUUAAAUAUUUAUUUAUAGUCAUGAUUUUUCCGCGUGCGUUUUCAUUUAAAAUUAAAUUGGAUUUGGGUGUCACAAGGUGGUAUCAGAGCAGGUCUACUUUCCUGUAGACUCUGCAAAAUAAAAUUCCUUACUAAUUUUAAAAGUCAUGUGUGACAAAUACAUUCGACCUCUACGUGCUCCGACAUCAAGGUAAAGAUAUUUCAAAUAUUUUUCAAGGGGGUGAGUAUAAAUUGUUUACGUUGAAAGUAUGUUGAAAUUUGCUGCAAUGAUUGAAGUUAUUAUCAGAAAGUUCAAGUUCAAAUUCAGUAUUCAAGUUAUUAUUUUGAAGAUUAUUGCAGCUAUGAAUUGUCAAAUUUCGAGGACGAAAUUUUUUUAAGUGGGUAGGUUUGUCACAGCCCAAAACCGUUUAGUUCCUUUGCAAUUUUUAUUUGAAAAUUAGUAUAUUUUUGAGUUAUUAAUAUAUAUAUAUAUAUAUAUAUCUAUGAGUCGAAUUUAUGAAUAUGUCUAGUCGCGCCCCUAAUUAGAUGAAUAAAUUUAUAGAUUUUAAUGUAUUCUCAAUAUAAAUGUAUAUUUCUCUUAAAUUAAUUAUUCUACAUGGACUUUAUUAUUUAUUCACUUUUGUUGGGCUGAAAAUUUAAUAAAAGCCCAUAGCAAUUUUAUUUUCACCAAUUCAUUUUCACUAUUCUUAAUUUGAGAUAGCAACGUGUUUCCUUUCGUUUAGCCACAAUUUGAUUUACUACUCAAGCCACUUAUUUAUUUAACCUUGAAUAGCAUGUACUCUUAUUUAUUAAGUAACCAAAUUAUUAUAUAUCAAAGAUUUCAUAUUAUUUAUCUUCACUGUUCUUUUUUUUUAAAAUUCCUUUUCAAAAUGAAAAUGUGCAAAAAAUCCCAUUUAUCCAACCACAACCGCCAUACUCCUCUUUAUCCCCAUUUAUCACCGCCAUACAUUUUUAUAUAUAUCAGAUUCAUUCACCUAUAGUAUAUCAUUUCAUCCUUUUUCUACAUCUACAUCUCUAAUUUGCAAAACGUAAACUUAUCCAGCAAGAAAAUCAAGUUCUUUCCUUCCACUGUAGAGAGUGGUGAUGAGGGAGAAUUGGGUGAAGGGAUGCUGGAUAACCGGUGAAGCGAGGGAGGUGACUGGAUGGCGCCGCCAAGCGCUGCCUGCGCCACGGCGGCCGGUGGAUAGAGAGCAGGAGGCGGCGGCGGUGGCAGGGGAACUGUGAACGGCGCCGGAUCUAGAGAAGGGGGGAAGACAGUGACGAAGGGUCACCGGAGAAGGCGCGGCCGCGACUGCGGCUGGUGC